CGCGGCUCGGGAGAGUGCCGCGACUGUGAUUGGGGGACUCGUGUGUUCUGAGCAUUUGCUAUGUGAGGUGACAGUUUGCUUCGUCGCUCCGACUCGGACUGUAUAGGCCAGAUGGCAUACAGACGUUUCACAAGUACGUCUCGGCGUUUCUCCCAACAGGCUUCGGCCAUCGGCACUUGCCAGUACCCGGGGCGCAGAUCCAACGAAGAGAACUCUGCUUCUUGCAGGCAAUCCAGGACGUCGUCGAUGCGCGUCGAUACAUGCUUGCGACUAAUCUUGUUAAGCCGGCGGUAAUCGACGCACAAUCUGAUUGAGCCAUCUUUUUUCCGCACCGGCACAACCGAAGACGCCGAAGGUCUGUGGGAUGCUGGAUCACACCCCGUUUCAGCAUGUCGUCAACGUGUUCGUCACAGACAAGGUAUUCGGCUGUGGGAACAGGGUAUUGACGCUGGCGCAGCGGAGCAUUGUGACCGGUGUCAAUACGGUGAACAACCACUGACGUGUGCCCAACAAAGGUAGGCCAAAGUCGAAAGAAGCCCGCAAGGUUGAAUAAGUUCAACAACUUGACCGCGUUGAGCUGGCGGACGCACGUUAUCGACGGUAUGCAAGAAAAUAUCCAGGGAACGUGAGGCUAGCACGGCAGCAAAGCUGGCGGCACCGAACGGAUGGAAAACACUGGCCCACAUUGUGGCAGUCGACCACCUCGCGCGGUACGCCGAAACUGCCGCCCACCCGGCAGUGCCCGAUGUUGCCUCUUUCCUGCUUCGUCGAUUCACCCUUCGUCAUGGCCACCUCAGGAACUGCUCAGUCAUCGCGGAAGCGUCUGCCUGCUCGAAGUAAUUGAAAGGAUUCUUAAAGAGUGCCAUGUCAAUUUCGUUCAUCGUACGACUACGGCGCACCGUCCUUAAACCAGGUACCUUACGAAGCUCUUCAACCGUACGCUCGGCAACAUACUUGCCACGCACGUCGCCUCCGACCGCACAAAUUGGGACAUCAUUCUGCCCUUCGUGGCCUACGCGUAGAACACCGGCACUCGAAGCCGUACCGGCUUUCCACCCGUUUUCUUACUUUGCGGUGGGCCCCUGUGGCACACCAACGACACAAUUCUUCCACACGGGCUGGCGGUGACACCACUUCUGCACCGACCUUCCUUCCUGGAACGCUUGUGUGGCUCUCGCUUCCUUCCGCUGCACCUGGCUCUCUUCGAAAGCGCUACCCAAGUACGAAGCGCGCUACCGUGUCUUCGAACGCGUAUCCCCGUCAACUACGUGAUCGAACCCGUUGAACCGCCUUCGGACAUGCGCCGUCGUGGACGAGACAUAGUCAACGUCGAGCGCCUCAAGCCGUAUACUACGAUUCACUCUAAUUGAGGAGCUGUUAGGUCGCCGGUCGGCUGCCUGUUCGUUCCCCGGGGUAAUUGAUGCGAAGAACAGGGACGCUGUAGUGGGUCGCCUUCUCCAGCGCUUUUGCCCGGGGAACGCCGCGCGUGGUCAGAAGCGCGUGAGGCCGCUUGUUCGGUGGCUUUUUCCAGAACAACCUCCAGGAAUCCCAAAGGUAAGAACCUCUUGGAGCUGUCGAGUCUUCUAGCGGUUUGGUGUUCUACGGACGCUGGUAUCGGGUUUCAAGCCGUGAAUGUCGGUUCCAAUUCUCGGUGACAAAUACACGCCUUAAAUUCUGAUUCUUUAUUUUUCAGGAACUUGGGAUGGAAACGCUCGUAAUCCUCAACCGGCAUUGCGUCCCCAAACGGGAGCAGAUAGGUCCCCUCCACGAUGCGGCAUUGCCCUUCGGGGUUCUCCGAUAUGACCCAACCAGGAGAAGUGUUCGCAGUCGACUGCCUGAGGCUGAUCGUGCCGAGCAAGCAGAAAGUUGAUCAACUAAAUGAGGAACACCACAGUGCAGAUCCUUCUACUCCUGUCUGUAGGCUCGACGCUUCAUCAAGGACAGCAUUUCAAGGUAAGCGCUGCAACUCUGGGGCGUUUGUGUAGGUGUUGGGUGCUUUGAGCUUGAUUCUUGGCAAUAAUUAGGCGUCGUCCCGUCGAUAGGUAUCCGCUGCCAUCACAGGGCCGGUGUACGCGCGUUGUUGCUACUUGAUCGUGUCGAGAGCGUCUCGCAAGUGUCCUUACCUAUGCUCCGUCUCGGAAAAUCAGGUGCAACGCUGUGGAAGCUAGAGUUGCGUUUUGCAGCGGCAGCGUCCGCACUUAGAAUCUAAAUUGAUGUUCUUGCUUGACUCGUGCUGCGCUCUGCUGUCAUAAGUAUCACUCGCUACAAUUAUCUGCAGUGAUCGCAUGAUGGAGCCACGACCUCCAUGUCGGUGCGUUUGUAUGAAUUCAAUAGGCCAAUGAGGUGUGAUCACGCCACCUGAGGGCCACCAAUGAGGUGUGAUCACGCCACUUGUGUGAUAGCCAGUGGCAUGACGCAACGUGCCUUUAAAAUGCUAUGCAAGUCGAAUAAACGCCACGUUGGCCAGGCUCUCUCACCCGGAACAGGCGUCUCCGCCAACUUCACUGCGUCGUCCUCUCGAACGCGAGGCCCCUCCGUCGACCGGCUUUACGUGAGACGGUACAGAAUGGCGACGAGGAUUUAGAAGAACCUGCUGUCUCAAACGCCCUUUUCCUGAGAACACGAUACAGGUGGCGCUGACAAGGUGGUACGAUGACGGAAUGGGCGACCAGGCGCUACCCUUCGGUACCGUGUUCACCAUCAAGUACCGGGGCAUCCAACACCAGAGCGCCAGGAAGCUCGUGAGCCUCGUCAGGAACCACCUUUAGGCACAAUAGACUUUGCCGAGUUUCCACCUGGGCCGGUAUUUUGUAGCGAUGCCUUUUCCGAUUCUAUGUUUUUUCAGGCUUUACUCUACAAUGUCAAAUCUACAAUCUACAAGUCUACAAUGUCAAAUCCAGAAAAUUUCCAGAACAACCUCCAGGAAUCCCGAAGGAACUUGGGAUGGAAACGCUCGUAAUCCUCAACCGACAUUGCGUCCCCAGACGGGAGCAGAUAGGUCCCCUCCACGAUGCGGCAUUGCCCUUCGGGGUAUGUGACUGUUUUCUGUUUAUACAGAUAUACCUUUCUUUUAGUUCUGAGAAGCUAUUAACGAAGUCAACUAUACAAAAUUUUGCGUAAAGUUUGGGAAUUUGAAUUCGUUCUGCGUCAUUAAAGGCUGCGUUUAAAUAAGAAGAACGUUAUCUGGCAGAGACAGUAAAGACUGCUUACAUGUGGGAAUGCGAAAGCAUUUGCCGUUUGUAGAACCUAGGAAUGUCAUGAGUGUGUUCAUGCACUUUCCACGCAUGAAAACACUCAUGAGAGCACGCACUAUAGGCGCACCUUGAGUCAGCCAGAACCGUGGAGCCGAAGUGGCGUCGGCAAAGGGUGCUCAUCUCGCAUCCCGGAGACCAAGGGUUAGUUCCCAUCCAGACCUAAAUGUACAUUUCCUUUUCGAAGCCAUUAAUUUACUUUGUUUACAGAAACCUACUGAGAAAUUUGACGUCAAUUCGAGCAUUCUUGACGCGUUUUCUUGACGCCUUUCCAGAGAAGCAAACCUUCCUGAAGCGCAAAAGCUGGUGUUGAAAGAGUGUGUAGCUGCAGGCAAAGCUCGCUCAAAAAACGGUAGAAGAUACUCAGAUGACUGGAUCUUGCUCUGCCUUCUCCUCCAUAUUAGGUCACCUGCAGGAUACAGAUUCUUGAUGGAGAGUGAAAUUCUCGCCUUGCCUUCAGUACGAACAAUACACCGCUACAUCUCAUUGGUGGGCUUUAAAACAGGCUUUGAUAGUAAGUUCUUCAUAGCCUUAAAAAAGAAACUUGAAAAGAAAGAUGACUUCAAGCGGCACGGUAUUAUCAUCUUUGAUGAGAUGCAAGUCCGUAAAAGUAAGGCUGUCAACUCAAAGACAAUGAUCUACGUCGGUCUGGCAUCAGAGACGGAAAACAGUACCGAGCUUGCAGACCUUGCUCUUGUUUUUAUGUUCUGCCCUUUUGGUGAAAGUUGUGCUCAGCCAAUAGGUGUUUUUGCAGCAAAAGGUGCCACGAAGGGUACUAUUCUUGCACAGUUGCUCCUUCAGGCAGUUUUACUUAUGGAGGAAGCUGGAGCAAAAAUUCAUGGGUUUGUUUGUGAUGGAGCUUCGACAAACAGGACUAUGUGGCGAACACUGGGUAUAAGUGGGUCACUAGAAGCCUGCCGGAACUCCUUCACACAUCCAAGCGACCCCACACGAAAAGUUUUUGCAUUUUCUGAUGCUCCACACCUCUUUAAAUGCAUCAGGAACCGUCUUUUGCAACAAAGGUACCUGAAAAAGGAGGGACGUUGGAUUAGGUGGGAGGACUAUGCAGCAGUUUAUAAAGAAGACCAAGCGAAUGUUGGAGCUUUGAAGGUGUGUCCAAAAAUAACACAUUCCCACAUUUAUCCAAGCAACUGUGAAAAGAUGCGGGUAAAGCUUGCCACGCAAGUGUUCAGUCGCUCGAUGGCAGCAGGUAUUGAAUUUUACAGAAACCGUGGUGUGCGCAGUCUGGGAGACACUGAAGGCACGCAAGAAUUCACAUUGUUUCUUAAUAAUCUUUUCGAUGCCUUGAACCGGCGGUUUCCUCAUGAAGGUGUCACAAAGCAGGGCUCUGACCUAGGCAUUCUGUCACGUGGGGUAGAAUGGUUGGAUAACUGGGAAAAAGAGCUGCAGAGUGGAAAUAUCACGAAAGAUAUGUUCCUGACAAAAAGCACUUCUGAAGGGCUCCUAGUUACCUUGAGAUCAACUAAAGAGCUUUGUGAGGUUCUUUUGCAUCAGUACGAGUUCAGAUACGUUCUUACAAAUAAAAUGAAUCAAGAUCCGAUCGAAAGAUUCUUUGGCAAGAUAAGACUUGCUGGAAGCCAGAAUGACCAUCCUUCAAUGCCAACAUUUAUGCAACUGUACAAUACAAUGUCCAUUUACAGGCUUCUGAGGCCUCCCAAGUUUGGCAAUUGCUGCGUGGUCGAUGAGAAGCCAUUACUAGACGCAUCAGACUUACGAGCCCUGAUCGAACUAGGCAGUGCAAGCAACUCUUCGCCUGGCUUCAUUGAUCAGCUAAAAGAAAAGCUUGAUAAACUGAUUCUUGUUGAGGACUGGGAAUGUGAGGAUGUUAUCCCAGUAAACGGAAAGGAUACAGCGCAAGUCGUUGACUGCAUACUUUACUAUGUGGUUGGAUUCUUGAGCCGAAAGUUGAUGAAAGCCACCACGUGCGAUUGUUGCCGGUCUGCUUUUACCAUUCCGCAAAACAGCUCUGCUGAAGGAUCCCUGACCAACACAAAGAGCAGGGGUGGACUGUUGCACCCCAACGCGAAUCUCUUUGAGCUGUUGAGAGUAGCUGAGGAGCACUUUGCAAAAAAUGCCGACAGUCAGUCUGUAUACUGGGAAACGGUGGAGCAUGUGCUUGACACAAAGACCUUGACUUUUCCAUGUGCUCAGCACAAAGAAGAGGUCAUUGCACAAAUUCUGCACUAUUUCUUAACCAUGAGAAUGAGGCAGCACUGUAAAGCUGCAACCAUGAACUUGAAAAAACAAGCUCAAGAGAAAAAAAAGCUUGCGAAACUUUGUUCAUCCUGAAUCGUGUUGCCAAGUUUACAGAAUGUACUAAUUUUGUUAGAUUUUUUGUGAAUGUAUGUAUUAAACAGUUUGUGCCAUGCAAUGUAUAGUUUUGUAACAGAAUAAAUUAUAUGUUCAGCCCCCCUUUCAGCAUGCCAUUCCUAAUAUUCUACACAAAUGUAAGAGCACUGUACACACCACCAGACCUACUUCAGGUCGGACAUUUUUUUUUUCUAAUAUAAGAGCGCGCAUUGUUCUCUUGAAAUGACAGAGUAGAAUAGAAAAAUUAUGCCCAUUCAUGGGCAACUAGCGCAAGAUAUACUGCUUUGAGAGUUGCGAUGGAUUUAGCCGUGUGACAUGCCCUUCAUCAAGCUGUACUGCACACGGCUUGCAGUACUGGCGCAAAGUAUAACCGCCAUCGCCUUAACACUGAGCAGAAGCCUGCGUAGGGGUCGCGUGUCGAGCGAAGUUUGUAACCAAGUACAUGUGUAAGCUAGAGGUGCAAUGGUUCAAGGUGCUUUGAGGACGUUUAUUUUGUAAAGAGGAAGAUGAGCAGCGGCGGCAGCCGCACCGCCAGCGCACAGCGCGAGAUUGCUGGGUUGACGACCGAAGAUCGGAACGGCAUUUUGGCUAGCUGUCCUUACGCUAUUUCCCCGAAAAUCCGGCUACAAUUUAUUUAUUUUUGCUUUAAUUAGCUAACAUUGGCGGGCGCAACUAGAAAAUACGAUUGAUACACUGGCUUCAACGUAUGCUAGAUACCAGAUCUAUAAUAAAAACGUCGUCGAGAAAUCAGUUGCACAUUCAUUUAGAUAAUCAGUCUUGUUACUGCAGAAUCCCGGUGGAUUCAUGCCUGUGCAUACUUUUCUAUAUACCCCGAUAUCGAGCUCGACAAACGAGCAACGCUUAGCAUCGAUAACCUACGCAGCGCAAAUCCGAGAGCCUCCACCUACUAGCGCCACCUGUCGCCGGGAAACGGAAACAGCGCCGGCGGCGAACACAACCAGGACGGUGCGCCGGCCGCAGUGUCAACACCUAAAUUAUUCUUACACCGUGACAUGUACACACACAAAAAAAGAAAAAAAAACAUGAGCAAUUCACUCUAUGAAGGUGGUUGACCAGCAAAGCUGUUUACCACACGACACCGAGGUGACACAUACUUUUGAACAAAAAUACGAGCUCAUUUAUUGUCUUGAUGGGUGGUCGUCGUGGCGAAAAGUAGGCAGACUCAUUGUCUUGAUCGGUGGUAAUUAUUUCACUCGCAACUGCAAAAGUCAAAUCGCUGCGCGUACGCCGCUGGGUGGUCGGUUGGGCUGGAUCGUUGUGGCAUCGCAAGGGGUAUGUCUGCAACACGGAGCACUUAAACCGCUCCCUUUUCGGUACCGACACGUCCACAUUGAAAUGAUUGACAACGAUAACAGGGUUUGUGUCAUUGCAGCUAAUUCUUGCAAAGUGAGUAGCCAUGAACCUUACGGGGCCGAGUCAUCGCCUAAACCGCCACCUUUUCGGUACCGACACAUCUACAAUGAAAUCACCGACAAAGACGACACAGGUAGAAUCAUCGCAGCUAAUUCACGCAGAGUAGCCAUGAACCUUACGGGACUAUGAGUCAUUGCAUUUUUUGUCGACAAGUGAUGGCGACACCGGCCAGUACUAUAUCCAUUGAGAUAUUCCAGAACAUGCGGCUGCGUCACAAUCCGCUUCUCUUCUUCACGCAGGUGAGAAGGCGUCAUGAUAAAUGUUUUCGAUCUAGUAGCCCAUGUUUGCUGAUGCUGCCGUGCCCAUUGACGAGCCUUGUAUUGCAUGUGGUACUUUAUUCACUCCGACCGUUGUUGUUACUUGCAGGGGAUACAGAGUCAAAUCCUGGUCCUGACCUACCACAAAUUGCGAAUCAACUGGAAUUGAUGGCGUCCGACCUCAAAGAUAUCAAAGGCAUAAGAUUAUCCGCUAUUGGUGUUAAAUUGAACGCUCUGGCUGUCUUGGAAGAGAAAAUUUCUUCGUGCCAGAAUCAAAUUGAACACAUGAGUAACACAAUUCAGUCACUUGAGGCGCGAAUUGACGAUUUAGAGAACCAUAGGAGACGAUCCAAUUUAAUCAUUUGUGGUCUUCCGGAAUCUGAGAAAGAAGAUACCGAAUCACUUGAAAUUGCCAUCAAUAAAGCUAUUUUUAAGAAAAUUCUUGAAAUUAAUGACAUUGAUAUAGAGCGCAAUCGCAGGUUGGGCCGACCAAACACUACAAAGCUAAGGCCAGUGAUAUUCAGGUUAACGAACUCGCGUAAUAAAGUAAAAAUUCUAAAGAAAGGUUAUAAACUAAAAAAUACUGAAUAUUCUAUUGGCAAAGAUUUCUCGCUUAAAGUACGUGAGGUCAAAAGAAAGUUAUGGGCAAGUGCAAAAAUAAACCGUGAAAAGCAUGAUAAGGUUUCUUUGGCUUUUGAUAAACUUUAUAUCAAUAACGUGGCCUAUGUGUGGGAUGAGAACAGAGAUGUUAAAGUAUACCUAAAAAAACGAAAACAACAAACCAAAUCGCCCUUAGACGCGCAGUUGCAUGCUAAUACAGCACAAAACAUGAGCAAUAGUAUCAAAAGCAGCACUUCAUGACACUUUUACAAUGAAACCGUUAGUUAUGUUACUCGCGCUAAGCCAAAGAAAAAGUACCUGAGACUUUUAAAUAUUAAUGCCCAGGGCAUAAUUAACAAGAAAGAUAGCCUAAAAUUAAAGUUAAUUGAACAUGACCCACACAUUUCAGUCCUUCCUGAAGCUUGGUUGCACAGUGACAUAGCAGACGACUUAGUCUUUCCUUCUUCUUAUCAAGCUUUUCGCAGAGAGAGAAAAACGAGGGGCGCGGGCGUAGCAAUCCUUGUUAAAUCUUCAAUCGAGGCAGUGGUAUUCGACUGCUCCUGCGAUGUUUAGUGUUUAUGCUUAAAGAUACCUUGCUGGGGUCACAGCUUCAUCCUGAUAGUACGCUACUAGGCGCCACCAAUAAUAUGAAAUAAUGAAACGUUGUUACAGUUAUUAAAAACACGAUUGAGUAAAUAUAAUUACGUCCAGCGUCCAACAGUUACGUCCAACUUGUGACGCUAAGUUCAGCACUACCGUGACCCGCGUCUUCUGCAACACCAGACAGAACUUUGCCCCUGAAGCUACAUCGGACAGACUUUCUCGCACCUGCGGCGCCGGUGCUGAAUCAGUCAUCGUCACCGGCGGCCUUUCAGCCACUUGCGUUAGAGCGCGGUUGCUAACGCGCUCUGCCGUCUAGAUAUUCAAUAUGCGCGUUCCGGGCUAAACUAUACGGUCGCUACUGCUCCCACAGAAAUAUCUGUGCUGUUAUUUACAAGGCACAUUCCCAUAAGGCGCGAGAAAGCUAUGAUCCGCCCCGAUUUGAGUUUGCACGAGCGCCGCAGGUGCGAGACAAUCUAUCCGACACAGCGGUCGCCAAGUCGGCCGUCAGUGCCCGCUGCUUCACCUGUUUUACCACGCCAGCAGCAAUCGUCCAAACGUAAACCAACGAUCCCAAUCCGCAACGGCGGCACGCCUAGGGACAAACACCUGCAUAAAAACCUACUCCGCAGUGCCUAGGCAGAGUCAUAUAUUU